rnacentral:lncRNA from 1 species
AAAAAGGAAGAGGCCAUUCAUGCAUGUCCCUCGAAGAAACUGCCUGUUGGAUCAGAGUCUCUGGCCCAUCUCACAUGCGCUCUCUCUCGAACAAUGAAAAAAAAUAAAAACAAACUUCAUAACUUUAUAUGUGUAUUAAUUUUAAUUCUUGGAUUAAUUUAUUCUUUUGAUACCUAUUCUAUCAGCAUCACAUCAUUCUUAACACUUGGUUUACAAAUCUCAAGUGUUUCUGUCUCAUGCAAAUUUGGCGUU